CCGGUGACCGGUUACAUUGUGUCAAGACUGACAGAAAUAUAUUGUGAUUUGCAUGAAGAGGGCGUGAUCGUUAAGUUUGUUGGAUUUUGCUUUGUUUAUUAGAUCAGAUUCACAAAAGCCGCACAGAAAUGAGCGACUUUGGCGGACCAGGUCCUUCCCGACAAGGCCGCGGGGGCAACGGCAAUAGACGCCCAUGGCGGCAAAGAUCGCACGACGGCAGGGGUCGAGGAGCUAGUGCGGCGCGCGGUGGCCGCGGCCGGGGUAGUGGCGCAGCCCG